rnacentral:rRNA from 1 species
UACCAGCACCCCGAGUGGUCGGGACGUUUAUUGGGCCUAAAGCAUCCGUAGCCGGUUCUACAAGUCUUCCGUUAAAUCCAGCUGCUUAACAGAUGGGCUGCGGAAGAUACUAUGGAGCUAGGAGGCGGGAGAGGCAAGCGGUACUCGAUGGGUAGGGGUAAAAUCCGUUGAUCCAUUGAAGACCACCAGUGGCGAAGGCGGCUUGCCAGAACGCGCUCGACGGUGAGGGAUGAAAGCUGGGGGAGCAAAGCCAGG